rnacentral:rRNA from 1 species
CCUACGGGCGGCUGCAGUGGGGAAUCUUGCGCAAUGGGCGAAAGCCUGACGCAGCGACGCCGCGUGGGGGAAGAAGGCCUUCGGGUUGUAAACCUCUUUCAGGUGGGACGAAGCCACUCGGGUGAACAGCCCAGAGGGUGACGGUACCACCAGAAGAAGCCCCGGCUAACUACGUGCCAGCAGCCGCGGUAAUACGUAGGGGGCAAGCGUUGUCCGGAUUUAUUGGGCGUAAACCGCGUAUAGGGGGCCAGAAAACUGGAGGCUCAACCGUCAGACGUCGACCGAAACCAUCUGGCUAGAGUCCGGAAGAGGAGAAUGGAAUUCCCGGUGUAGCGGUGAAAUGCGCAGAUAUCAGGAAGAACACCCGUGGCGAAAGCGGUUCUCUGGGACGGUACUGACGCUGAGACGCGAAAGCGUGGGGAGCGAACAGGAUUAGAUACCCUAGUAGUC